rnacentral:tRNA from 1 species
GGUUAAAUGGCUGAAAAUAGGCAAUAGAUUGUAAAUCUAUUUAUAAGAAUAUCUUCUUUUUAACCA